rnacentral:rRNA from 1 species
CAACGAGAGCACCCUUGUCUGUAGUUGCCAGCAAACGUUGGGCACUCUAAGGAGACUGCCCAGGACAAACCGGAGGAAGGGGGGGAUGACGUCAAGUCCUCAUGCCCUUUAGGACCAGGGCAACACACGUCUUACAAUGGCGUUUACAAAGGGAAGCGAGACCGCGAGGUGGAGCAAAUCUCACAAAGACGGUCUCAGUUCGGAUUGCAGUCUGCAACUCGCCUACAUGAAGUCGGAAUCGCUAGUAAUCGCAGAUCAGCAA